GCACGAACAAAAAAUCACAUAAAUAAUAGAAACAAAAUUUAAAAACUACAAAGUGAGUUUUGAAAAAUAAAAUGUUAAUGUUGGAUUUACAAAUAAAUUUGGCCCCUCGCUUGGAUGUGAUUAUGUUCUUUUUGAAGUUUUUAUUAAUUGUUAUUUUUCAUUUUUUUUGUCCUGAAGAAGGGACUAGUUGUCCCAAAUAAUUAAACAAUUUUAAUUGCUUGCGUGGUUUGCUUUUUAUAUCUAGUUUCUAGGCUUCUAAAGGUCAAUGCAUAAUAAAACACUUGAAUC
rnacentral:misc_RNA from 1 species